GUUCGAUCCUUUCAUGACUUGUUUUUUGUUUGUUUGUUUGUUUUGUUUUUUAGAUGGAGUUUCCCUCUUGUUGCCCAGGCUGGACAGCGAUGCGCGAUCUCCAUUCACUGCAACCUCUGCCUCCUAGGUUCAAGCGAUUCUCCUGCCGCAGCCUCGCGAGUAGCUGGGAUUACUGGCCUGUGCCACCACGCCCGACUAAUUUUGUGUUUUUAGUAGAGACAGGGUUUCUCCAUGUUGGUCAGGCUUGUCUCAAACUCCCGACCUCAGAUGAUCUACCCACCUCGGCCUCCCAAAGUGCUGGGAUUACAGGGUUGACACACCGUGCCCGGCCUUUUUUUUUAAAAAAAAAAAAAAAAAAAAAAGAUACAGAAUCUCACUAUGUUGCCCAGGCUGGUCUUGAACUCCUGGCUUGAACAGUCGUCAUGCUGCCUCAGCCCUCACCCUCCUGGAUAGCUGGGACUGCAGGCACGCACCACCGUGCCAGCCAAGACUUGCUUUUAAGCCUUGUCAGGAGGGACCACAGGAGACUUUAGAGUAAGCUGAAUUGGGCUGCAUUACUGAGACAAUACUCAGAGUGUUCUACUCAGUGCCCGAUGAAUUAGAAGGUUUUCAACUGUGGUUGGUGGCCACAGGGGCUAUUCUCUGGCUGGUGGGAGCUCUAGGAAUGGUUCCCUCUAAUCUUUUUGGGUGAUUCUUUUUCUGGCCUCAUUUCUUUUCCUCACAUGCAUGUGCUGAUCAAUACUUUGCUGAAGACCCAAAGAUGACACUCUGCAGAGCCCAGAGUUCUCUCCGUGUGCAGCUUUCUUCUCUCCAGUAUUCUCUCCUUGAAGAAACUGAGAUAGGAGAAGGGAUGGUGCCUGAGUCUGCGGCAGACCCUGAACUGGGCCACAUCUCCCAACUUGAGAUUGAAGUCGCUUUGAAAGCAGAGCACAUGAAUCCGGGCAACGUGACUUAAGAGCUGGCUGAUGUUCCAGGACAGCACAAAAGAACGGAACUUGUUUUCAUGCUAUGAGUGCGCAAACCAAUGGGCAGUUUUUGGGGUUACUCGUGAUUGCUCCUCGGUCCAGAGUUCAGGCAGCAAUCUGAGCCACUCAACUGCUCUUCUUUACCCCUCUACCUCUGCAGUUCAUUGGGGGACAGAGCUGGGCCAGGAUCCUGGGACAGAAGGAGGAGGCGGGCCCAGGAAAGUCCACUUGGGGUAACACACAAUUUGUACAUAAAAAAGAAAUG
rnacentral:lncRNA from 1 species